CUACGGGUGGCUCCAGUCAAGAAUAUUCCACGAUGCCCGCAAGGGUGAUGGAGCGACGCCGCGUGCAGGAAGACGCCCUUCGGGGUGUAAACUGCUUUUAUAUGGGAAGAAUUCGUGACGGUACCAUAUGAAUAAGAGGGUGCUAACUCUGUGCCAGCAGCAGCGGUAAUACAGAGCCCUCGAGCGUUAUCCGGAUUCAUUGGGCGUAAAGCGUCCGCAGGUGGUUGUGUAAGUUAAUGGUCAAAUCCAUGGGCCUAACUCAUGGACUGCCAUUAAUACUGCAUAACUAGAGGCUGGGAGAGGCAAGCGGAACUGCAGGUGUAGUAGUAAAAUGCGUUGAUAUCUGCAGGAACACCAAAGGCGAAGGCAGCUUGCUAGAACAGUUCUGACACUCAUGGACGAAAGCGUGGGUAGCGAAGGGGAUUAGAUACCCCAGUAGUC
rnacentral:rRNA from 1 species